GCAAGUCGAGCGGUAACAGGAAUUAGCUUGCUAAUUUGCUGACGAGCGGCGGACGGGUGAGUAAUGCCUGGGAAUAUGCCUUAGUGUGGGGGAUAACUAUUGGAAACGAUAGCUAAUACCGCAUAACGUCUUCGGACCAAAGAGGGGGACCUUCGGGCCUCUCGCGCUAAGAUUAGCCCAGGUGGGAUUAGCUAGUUGGUGAGGUAAAGGCUCACCAAGGCAACGAUCCCUAGCUGGUCUGAGAGGAUGAUCAGCCACACUGGAACUGAGACACGGUCCAGACUCCUACGGGAGGCAGCAGUGGGGAAUAUUGCACAAUGGGGGAAACCCUGAUGCAGCCAUGCCGCGUGUAUGAAGAAGGCCUUCGGGUUGUAAAGUACUUUCAGUCGUGAGGAAGACAGUGUAGUUAAUAGCUGCAUUGUUUGACGUUAGCGACAGAAGAAGCACCGGCUAACUCCGUGCCAGCAGCCGCGGUAAUACGGAGGGUGCGAGCGUUAAUCGGAAUUACUGGGCGUAAAGCGCAUGCAGGCGGUCUGUUAAGCAAGAUGUGAAAGCC
rnacentral:rRNA from 1 species